rnacentral:rRNA from 1 species
UCCUACGGGAGGCAGCAGUGGGGAAUUGUUCGCAAUGGGCGCAAGCCUGACGACGCAACGCCGCGUGGAGGAUGAAGGUCUUCGGAUUGUAAACUCCUGUUGAUCGGGACGAAAAGCUUCGACCUAACACGUCGGAGACUGACGGUACCGGUUGAGGAAGCCACGGCUAACUCUGUGCCAGCAGCCGCGGUAAUACAGAGGUGGCAAGCGUUGUUCGGAAUUACUGGGCGUAAAGGGCGCGUAGGCGGCCUUCUAAGUCGGACGUGAAAGCCCCAGGCUUAACCUGGGAACUGCGUCCGAUACUGGAAGGCUUGGAUUCGGGAGAGGGAUGUGGAAUUCCAGGUGUAGCGGUGAAAUGCGUAGAUAUCUGGAGGAACACCGGUGGCGAAGGCGGCAUCCUGGACCGACAUCGACGCUGAGGCGCGAAAGCUAGGGGAGCAAACGGGAUUAGAUACCCCAGUAGUCAC